rnacentral:rRNA from 1 species
AUUGAACGCUGGCGGCAUGCCUUACACAUGCAAGUCGAACGGUAACGGGCCUUCGGGUGCCGACGAGUGGCGAACGGGUGAGUAAUACAUCGGAACGUGCCCGAUCGUGGGGGAUAACGAGGCGAAAGCUUUGCUAAUACCGCAUACGAUCUACGGAUGAAAGCAGGGGACCGCAAGGCCUUGCGCGGACGGAGCGGCCGAUGGCAGAUUAGGUAGUUGGUGGGAUACAAGCUUACCAAGCCGACGAUCUGUAGCUGGUCUGAGAGGAUGAUCAGCCACACUGGGACUGAGACACGGCCCAGACUCCUACGGGAGGCAGCAGUGGGGAAUUUUGGACAAUGGGCGCAAGCCUGAUCCAGCCAUGCCGCGUGCAGGAUGAAGGCCUUCGGGUUGUAAACUGCUUUUGUACGGAACGAAAAGCCUUCUUUUAAUACAGGAGGGUCAUGACGGUACCGUAAGAAUAAGCACCGGCUAACUACGUG